AAACCAUGCAUCGAGCAUUUCCGCAACAACUCUUUGAACCUCUCCUAAGCUUCAUACAAGUUUUCAUCAUCUAAUUGCUUGAAAGAUGUGAUGUCAUUCCUUAAUCU